UCUGGUCCAAGUUACACAGAAAACCCUUAAGAACUACUUAUUUUUGUAAACCACCAAAGGAAGGAUGUAGCAAAGAUGAUGCACUCUCAGCAGAAAACUGUUUUGUUAAUAAUAACAAUGUUUUGUGGAAAUAACUGUGAAGUGUAACCACUGAUGAAGCAGCUGCUCUACUGGAAUGGAGAAGAGAGCGCUGGUUUUUAAAUCCUUCAUAGAAGAAGCUGGCUUUUAAUGAGACCUGAAGGAUGAGAAGGAGGCAGCCAUGUGGAGAUGUGGAAUGACACUUUUAAGCUACUAUAGCACAUGCCAAUGCUGUGAGGAAGCAAGAGAGCCUGACGUGUUUGGAAACCAAAAGAACAUCAGCUGGUACACAGUGAACAAGGGAGAGACUCUCAGGAAAUGAAGCCACAAUGAGUACAUGGAAUAUCAGAAUAACAGAACCAGAAGGAAAUGUGCGACUUUCUCAUCUAGCCCCCAGCUGCAGGAGCAUGCGUUCCACUCUCUAACCAAGGCCCUGAGCCUGAGGCCAGAGGGCUUUCUCCUUUUUUCCUAUGAAGAUUAUUGAGUGAUUAUCGAUCCUUCUAACAAACUACUGCAAGACCCAAGCUAGGAGAAAGGAAGAGAGAGAGAGAAAGAGAGACAGAGAAAGAAAAGAAAGGAAGAAAGAAAGGAAG